rnacentral:rRNA from 1 species
UACGGGGGGGGCAAGCGUUGUUCGGAAUUACUGGGCGUAAAGGGCUUGUAGGUGGCCAACUAAGUCAGACGUGAAAUCCCUCGGCUUAACCGGGGAACUGCGUCUGAUACUGGAUGGCUGGAGUGUGGGAGAGGGAAGCGGAAUUCCAGGUGUAGCGGUGAAAUGCGUAGAUAUCUGGAGGAACACCGGUGGCGAAGGCGGCAUCCUGGACCAUUACUGACACUGAAAAGCGAAAGCCAGGGGAGCAAACGGG